AGGUGAUAUGAACCGUUAUAACCGGCGAUUUCCGAAUGGGGAAACCCAGUGUGAUUCGUCACACUAUCAUUAACUGAAUCCAUAGGUUAAUGAGGCGAACCGGGGGAACUGAAACAUCUAAGUACCCCGAGGAAAAGAAAUCAACCGAGAUUCCCCCAGUAGCGGCGAGCGAACGGGGAGGAGCCCAGAGCCUGAAUCAGUGUGUGUGUUAGUGGAAGCGUCUGGAAAGGCGCGCGAUACAGGGUGACAGCCCCGUACACAAAAAUGCACAUGCUGUGAGCUCGAUGAGUAGGGCGGGACACGUGGUAUCCUGUCUGAAUAUGGGGGGACCAUCCUCCAAGGCUAAAUACUCCUGACUGACCGAUAGUGAACCAGUACCGUGAGGGAAAGGCGAAAAGAACCCCGGCGAGGGGAGUGAAAAAGAACCUGAAACCGUGUACGUACAAGCAGUGGGAGCCUCUUAAUGGGGUGACUGCGUACCUUUUGUAUAAUGGGUCAGCGACUUAUAUUCUGUAGCAAGGUUAACCGAAUAGGGGAGCCGAAGGGAAACCGAGUCUUAACUGGGCGUUAAGUUGCAGGGUAUAGACCCGAAACCCGGUGAUCUAGCCAUGGGCAGGUUGAAGGUUGGGUAACACUAACUGGAGGACCGAACCGACUAAUGUUGAAAAAUUAGCGGAUGACUUGUGGCUGGGGGUGAAAGGCCAAUCAAACCGGGAGAUAGCUGGUUCUCCCCGAAAGCUAUUUAGGUAGCGCCUCGUGAAUUCAUCUCCGGGGGUAGAGCACUGUUUCGGCAAGGGGGUCAUCCCGACUUACCAACCCGAUGCAAACUGCGAAUACCGGAGAAUGUUAUCACGGGAGACACACGGCGGGUGCUAACGUCCGUCGUGAAGAGGGAAACAACCCAGACCGCCAGCUAAGGUCCCAAAGUCAUGGUUAAGUGGGAAACGAUGUGGGAAGGCCCAGACAGCCAGGAUGUUGGCUUAGAAGCAGCCAUCAUUUAAAGAAAGCGUAAUAGCUCACUGGUCGAGUCGGCCUGCGCGGAAGAUGUAACGGGGCUAAACCAUGCACCGAAGCUGCGGCAGCGACACUAUGUGUUGUUGGGUAGGGGAGCGUUCUGUAAGCCUGUGAAGGUGGCCUGUGAGGGUUGCUGGAGGUAUCAGAAGUGCGAAUGCUGACAUAAGUAACGAUAAAGCGGGUGAAAAGCCCGCUCGCCGGAAGACCAAGGGUUCCUGUCCAACGUUAAUCGGGGCAGGGUGAGUCGACCCCUAAGGCGAGGCCGAAAGGCGUAGUCGAUGGGAAACAGGUUAAUAUUCCUGUACUUGGUGUUACUGCGAAGGGGGGACGGAGAAGGCUAUGUUGGCCGGGCGACGGUUGUCCCGGUUUAAGCGUGUAGGCUGGUUUUCCAGGCAAAUCCGGAAAACCAAGGCUGAGGCGUGAUGACGAGGCACUACGGUGCUGAAGUGACAAAUGCCCUGCUUCCAGGAAAAGCCUCUAAGCAUCAGGUAACAUCAAAUCGUACCCCAAACCGACACAGGUGGUCAGGUAGAGAAUACCAAGGCGCUUGAGAGAACUCGGGUGAAGGAACUAGGCAAAAUGGUGCCGUAACUUCGGGAGAAGGCACGCUGAUAUGUAGGUGAAGCGACUUGCUCGUGGAGCUGAAAUCAGUCGAAGAUACCAGCUGGCUGCAACUGUUUAUUAAAAACACAGCACUGUGCAAACACGAAAGUGGACGUAUACGGUGUGACGCCUGCCCGGUGCCGGAAGGUUAAUUGAUGGGGUUAGCGGUAACGCGAAGCUCUUGAUCGAAGCCCCGGUAAACGGCGGCCGUAACUAUAACGGUCCUAAGGUAGCGAAAUUCCUUGUCGGGUAAGUUCCGACCUGCACGAAUGGCGUAAUGAUGGCCAGGCUGUCUCCACCCGAGACUCAGUGAAAUUGAACUCGCUGUGAAGAUGCAGUGUACCCGCGGCAAGACGGAAAGACCCCGUGAACCUUUACUAUAGCUUGACACUGAACAUUGAGCCUUGAUGUGUAGGAUAGGUGGGAGGCUUUGAAGUGUGGACGCCAGUCUGCAUGGAGCCGACCUUGAAAUACCACCCUUUAAUGUUUGAUGUUCUAACGUUGGCCCCUAAUCGGGGUUGCGGACAGUGUCUGGUGGGUAGUUUGACUGGGGCGGUCUCCUCCUAAAGAGUAACGGAGGAGCACGAAGGUUGGCUAAUCCUGGUCGGACAUCAGGAGGUUAGUGCAAUGGCAUAAGCCAGCUUGACUGCGAGCGUGACGGCGCGAGCAGGUGCGAAAGCAGGUCAUAGUGAUCCGGUGGUUCUGAAUGGAAGGGCCAUCGCUCAACGGAUAAAAGGUACUCCGGGGAUAACAGGCUGAUACCGCCCAAGAGUUCAUAUCGACGGCGGUGUUUGGCACCUCGAUGUCGGCUCAUCACAUCCUGGGGCUGAAGUAGGUCCCAAGGGUAUGGCUGUUCGCCAUUUAAAGUGGUACGCGAGCUGGGUUUAGAACGUCGUGAGACAGUUCGGUCCCUAUCUGCCGUGGGCGCUGGAGAACUGAGGGGGGCUGCUCCUAGUACGAGAGGACCGGAGUGGACGCAUCACUGGUGUUCGGGUUGUCAUGCCAAUGGCACUGCCCGGUAGCUAAAUGCGGAAGAGAUAAGUGCUGAAAGCAUCUAAGCACGAAACUUGCCCCGAGAUGAGUUCUCCCUGAGACUUAGAGUCUCCUGAAGGAACGUUGAAGACGACGACGUUGAUAGGCCGGGUGUGUAAGCGCAGCGAUGCGUUGAGCUAACCGGUACUAAUGAACCGUGAGGCUUAACCUU
rnacentral:rRNA from 1 species